rnacentral:rRNA from 1 species
AGUGAACGCUGGCGAUAGGCCUAACACAUGCAAGUCGAACGGCAGCACAGUAAGAGCUUGCUCUUACGGGUGGCGAGUGGCGGACGGGUGAGGAAAAAAACGGAAUCUACUUUUUCGUGGGGGAUAACGUAGGGAAACUUACGCUAAUACCGCAUACGAUCUACGGGUGAAAGCAGGGGAUCUUCGGACCUUGCGCGAUUGAAUGAGCCGAUGUCGGAUUAGCUAGUUGGCGGGGUAAAGGCCCACCAAGGCGACGAUCCGUAGCUGGUCUGAGAGGAUGAUCAGCCACACUAGAACUUAGACACGGUCCAUACUCCUACGGGAGGCAGCAGUGGGGAAUAGUAGGCAAUGGGCGCAAGCCUGAUCCAGCCAUACCGCGUGUGUGAAGGAGGCCUUCGGUUUGUAAAGCCCUUUUUUUGGGAAAGAAAAGCAGCAGGUUAAUACCCCGCUGUUCUGACGGUACCCAAAGAAUAAGCACCGGCUAACUACGUG